GUGAGGAAUAUUGCGCAAUGGAGGCAACUCUGACGCAGCCAUGCCGCGUGCAGGAAGAAGGCGCUACGCGUUGUAAACUGCUUUUAACCGGGAAGAAACCCCAGGACGUGUCCUGGGUUGACGGUACCGGAGGAAUAAGCACCGGCUAACUUCGUGCCAGCAGCCGCGGUAAUACGAAGGGUGCAAGCGUUAUCCGGAUUCAUUGGGUUUAAAGGGUGCGUAGGCGGAGCGUUAAGUCAGUGGUGAAAUCCUGCAGCUUAACUGUAGACUUGCCAUUGAUACUGGCGCUCUUGAGUGCGCUUGAAGUGGGCGGAAUGUGCCGUGUAGCGGUGAAAUGCUUAGAUAUGGCACAGAACACCAAUUGCGAAGACAGCUCACUAAGGCGAUACUGACGCUGAGGCACGAAAGCGUGGGGAUCGAACAGGAUUAGAUACCCUAGUAGUCC
rnacentral:rRNA from 1 species